UUCCGGUUGAUCCCGCCGGACCUGACUGCUAUCGGAUUGAUACUAAGCCAUGCUAGUCUUUGUAGUAAUACAAGGCAUACGGCUCAGUAACGCGUAGUCAACCUACCCUAUGGACGGGGAUAAUCUCGGGAAACUGAGCAUAAUACCCGGCAGACCACUUAUCCUGGAAUGGUUAGUGGUUAAAAUGAUUCGUCGCCAUAGGAUGGGACUGCGGCCUAUCAGCUUGUUGGUGAGGUAAUGGCCCACCAAGGCGAUUACAGGUACGGGCUCUGAGAGGAGAAGCCCGGAGAUGGGUACUGAGACAAGGACCCAGGCCCUAUGGGGCGCAGCAGGCGAGAAAACUUUGCAAUGUGCGAAAGCACGACAAGGUUAAUCCGAGUGAUUUCUGCUAAAGGAAUCUUUUGUUAGUUCUAAAAAUACUAGUGAAUAAGGGGUGGGCAAGUUCUGGUGUCAGCCGCCGCGGUAAAACCAGCACCUCAAGUGGUCAGGAUGAUUAUUGGGCCUAAAGCAUCCGUAGCCGGCUUUGUAAGUUUUCGGUUAAAUCCAUGUGCUCAACGCAUGGGCUGCCGAAAAUACUGCAUGGCUAGGGAGUGGGAGAGGUAGACGGUACUCAGUAGGAAGGGGUAAAAUCCUUUGAUCUAUUGAUGACCACCUGUGGCGAAGGCGGUCUACCAGAACACGUUCGACGGUGAGGGAUGAAAGCUGGGGGAGCAAACCGGAUUAGAUACCCGGGUAGUCCCAGCUGUAAACGAUGCAGACUCGAUGAUGCAUUGGCAUAAUAGCCAGUGCAGUGUCGCAGGGAAGCCGUUAAGUCUGCCGCCUGGGAAGUACGUACGCAAGUAUGAAACUUAAAGGAAUUGGCGGGGGAGCACCACAAGGGGUGAAGCCUGCGGUUCAAU
rnacentral:rRNA from 1 species